rnacentral:rRNA from 1 species
UGGGAACCUUCCCUAUGGUUCGGAAUAGCUCAGGGAAACUUGGGGUAAUACCGGAUAAGCCCUUACGGGGAAAGAUUUAUCGCCAUUGGAUGGGCCCGCGUCGGAUUAGCUAGUUGGUGAGGUAACGGCUCACCAAGGCUACGAUGCGUAGCCGACCUGAGAGGGUGAUCGGCCACAUUGGAACUGAGACACGGUCCAGACUCCUACGGGAGGCAG